CCUUCGCUCUCCCUACUAACAGCGUUUCGCCAGUCCAAACUGUCAUUUCGAACAAACAGACCAACAGUACAUCAUCUGAAUGUCGUGUAAGACUAAUUUGUUUAUAAUGUUUAGUUACUUCAGUACUCUAUUUCCUCCUUUUCUAACAAAACCCCAACUGCAACUGCAACAUUUAAAAUUUCUUCUAUAUUCUACUAUGAAACGAUACAUCGCACAACAGUAACCACAAGACAGAUCGUGCGAGAAUAAGAUUCAGUUCAGUCCAAACUGCUCAUCAAGAACUGGGAGAUAUGCCGAUCGUGUGUGGAGGUAUUUAGAGAUCUGGCAACAGCGCCAUAAGCCUUGCACUGAAAUACAACAUGUCCAUGAAAGAUUGUCCCAGUUAUAAAAUUUAAUAGUUUUAACUGUAAGCAUUUUAGAGUGUUGGUUGAAGGUCACAAUCAAAGAUUAUCCAAACAGUUUGAGAUAAAGCGCAUGCGCGAAUACUGUUUAAUUUUUUUCCUCGCUUGCAGCGUGAAAGAAUGGCUCUUUCCCCAAUCAGUAGAGGGUGAACCUGUAAACUUUAUCUGGUAACAGGAUGGAGCCCCUCCCCAUUGGAAUCUCCUUGCACGGGAGUGGUUGAACGUCAUAGUCCCUGAUCGUUUGACUGGUCAUAUUGGUCGAGACGAUGGAGCUCUUUUCCGCUGGCCUCCACAUUCACCUGACAUAACGCCAUGCGAUUUUUGACGUAACGUCUAAUAAAUCGAUGAACGCCGGCUGCACGCACGAAAAAGGAUGACUCAUAGUACCGUUACGCACCAUGUCCCGUUACGAUUUGUUCCGUUACGCUCAUUGUACGCUUGCCCCUCAUCUAUCUCUAUUCCACUCGAUUGGAACAACCAUCGAUUGAACGUUUUCGAGGCACAUUCAACUUGUAACACUCCCAUUCGUUUCCUACUUUUCCGAUCAUCGUCCUAUCCUUAACAGAAUAACACAGAUUGGAAGAAGUUAAAUAGCAAACAUGUAUAAAGUUAUAGUUAAAAUAAUCUCUUCAUUAAAAUAAUAAACAUAUUUGAAUUAAAGAGUGCAAAUAAAAGUAAAUUUAUCAAUUAAAUUGUAGAUUUCAUUUCACUCCUUCUUUGUAUCCAUACAAAAUAGUGAUAAUUCAAUAAAAAUGAUUCAAAUUUAUUCAUAAAUGUAUGUAAUGAUUUCAUCAAUUUUUUAUGGCGUCACGUUAAAAUAUCGUCCGUAAACCUACUUUACAGACAACCAAUAUAUUUUUUCCUUCGGGGCUUUAUAAAAGAUCGUGUCUAAAGUUCCACCGCUACCUACCUAAUUAUCUUCCAGAGUUGAGACACAGAAUUGAAGAGGCUAUUGCUUCCAUUACUCCGGACGUGUUAACCAAAGUGUGGGAAGAAUGUGAAUUUAGUUUGGUACAACCGAAGGUGCACAUAUUUGACAUUUGUUGAAAAAAUAAAAAUAAUAAAAUAGGUUAGUUUUCCUUCAGUUUGAUUAAUGGAUUUUUUUGUAAACGUUUUAAAUUUAACUGUUAUACUUAGAGACCUGCAAAAUUCGCGGUUUCGAUGGCCUUCGGGAUGGACUGCACAUACCCUUGUACACUCGGGCAAAUAACGCAAGUUCAUUGGCUGCCGACUUGUAAGUCGUAUCAGCUGGUUUGUCUGUGAUUCGAUCCUUCUUUGGUUGAGGGUUUAUAACUGUUUGAAAUUCGUCCAGAUGAACAGUAAGCCAAUAACAAAAUUAUCUAAGAGGUAUAUGUGUUUGUAUUCUAGCCUAUCACCGAAUGAAUCCGCGAAUUUUGCAGGUCUCUAGCUUAUACUAAACCAUUGAAAAUGGGACAUUGUUUAAAAUAGGUGAGAUGGUGUUUACGUGCGUGCCGCUGAGAUGCCGACCAAACCUGCGACAUGACCGGAGCCACGUGGUCUGAGGCUUGUAGCAUAACGACGGCCAUGCCCAUGCCUAUUCCGCCCGCGUCUGGCCGGCAGUCGAAGAGGGCGACAUCGGCGCAUUUGACGGGGAUGAGGCGCCUUGAGAGCGCUCUGGCCAGUUGGAACACUUCCUCUGCGCCCUCCAACCCUGCACAGAAGAAAACAAUAUUCGUCGGCCUACUUCUAAAACCUCGAUGGUGACGGAGGACGCUCGCCGGUGCUGGUAAACAGCAGUCACCAAGUCGGUGACGUCGCUCCGCGCCAUUCUUGCCUCCGAGUGCGGCCCGUGGGAUAGAAACCACAUGACAACCAACGCGCUCGAUCCAAAAUUCCUCAUCAGUCCUGCGGGCAUCACAACCACUGCUGUUUUUCCCAAUAUCUUCCUUCUAACAUUUCGUAUUUUUAAAACUGAUUUUAAAUAAUAUUUUUUACCAAAUCAUA